GGGAGAGAGAGAGGGAAGAGGAGGAAGAUAGUUGUGUUCCUCUCCUUUUUCCUUUUGUUGUUCUUUUUCUCUCUCUUCUUUGGUUUCUUUCUCCCACU
rnacentral:ribozyme from 13 species